rnacentral:tRNA from 1 species
CCGUACUGAAAUGGUCAUUCAUGAUCCUCACCGUCAGACCCCUCUCGCCCAUCUGAUAAGGGUGAGGUCGAUGGUUCAAAUCCAUCUGGGCCCA